rnacentral:tRNA from 1 species
GACUUAGUAGCUCAGUUGGUAGAGCAACAGACUCUUAAUCUCAACCCAUGAGAUGUAAAAGUGUGUUUUAAGUCA